rnacentral:misc_RNA from 1 species
GUUCCGAGAGAGUGUGCUUCGCUGUUUGCACCGUUCGCACGCUCUCUAUGAAAUAUUCUAUAUCCACGCGCGCCUCUAUUCCGCUUCGUAAAACUUGGUAUAUGCGCACACGUAUGUUAUCGCGUUUCACAUUCGUGAAUGUACUUCGCGCGUGUCAGUUAAUUGCAUACUAGAAAUAAAAGAAAUAAUUAACGUUAAAAUUGAGCAGCUUUCUUAAAUCGUAUUGUGAUCGUCGAUCGGAAGAUUAUGACGGCCCACGAUCAGAUACGAGCUAUGCUCGAUCAAUUAAUGGGCACUGGACGUAACGGUGAGAAUAACAAAUUUCAAGUGAAAUACUCCGAUCCGAAGGUCUGCAAGAGUUUCCUGCUAGCAUGCUGCCCCCAUGAGAUUCUUUCGUCGACACGCAUGGACCUGGGAGAUUGUCCCCAGAUUCACGACUUGGCACUGCGGGCUGACUACGAGGCCGCGCAGAAGAAGAAGGAUCACUUUUACGACAUCGAUGCAAUGGAACACCUUCAAAACUUUAUCGCUGAUUGUGACCGUCGGACCGAACAAGCGAAGCAACGUCUUGCCGAGACACAGGAGGAAUUGAGCGCAGAGGUAGCAGCAAAAGCAAAUAACGUUCAUGUGCUAGCGGAAGAAAUUGGAAAAAAAUUAGCCAAAGCGGAAGAACUCGGUGAAGAAGGCUUCGUCGAAGAGUCGAUGAAGCUAAUGGGUGAAAUUGAUGAAUUACGUAAGAAGAAAAACGAGGCGGAACAAGAAUAUAGAAAUAGCAUGCCGGCCUCGAGUUAUCAACAACAAAAAUUGCGGGUCUGCGAAGUAUGCAGCGCCUACCUCGGUAUUCACGAUAAUGAUCGCAGACUCGCCGAUCACUUUGGUGGCAAAUUGCAUCUGGGAUUCAUCAAGAUAAGAGAAAAACUUGCCGAACUUGAAAAAACUGUUGAGGAUAGACGCAAGGAGAAACGCGAAACUAUGAUGGACAGAGAUAGGCGAGAGCGGGAAAGAGACCGUGAGGAUCGCGACAGAGAUCGUGACCGAUCCGACAGGAGGGGACUCAGUUAUCGGGAGCGUGAACGCGAUCGCGAUCGUGAUCGUGAUCGAAGGGACAGAGAGCGAAGACGAUCUAGAUCACGGUCUCGUAGUCGUGGAAAGAGGUCGAGACGUUCACGGAGUGGAAGCCAUGGUCGCCGUUCUCGUUCGCGGCGCAGUGGUUCCAACGAUCGCAAGAGAUAAAGAGCCAGGAGUGAAACGGAUACGAGGAUGAAAAACAAAAACAGAAAGAGCCUACAAGGACCAUUGAACAUCUCACGGAACAGGGAAUGGAACAUCUCGAAGAUUGACUUUCGCUUGAGCAACAUCUUUGCCAAGGUUCGCGCUCACAUAAAUUAUCCCAAUACCGGACUCGAAGAUAAUAAAUUCAUACUUCGGCAUAAUGCGGCAUUAUACGUGAGUAAUAUUUCCACAAUACGAGUUGUAAGUAAUUUUCUCUAUACAUACAUCCAAUACGCCAGACCAUCAAGAAAAUUUAAAAGAUAACUAUAGAUAUAUAAUCGUUGAUUUAAAUCACAUGGGUAAAGAUUUUCCGAUUCAGUUUCAACUAGAUAUAUCAUUGCUAUUACUCCUAUUGUCUGAUGUAAAUAAAUAAUUAAAAGAUAAAAAUAAAAUUAAGAGAAUACACUUGAUCUCUUUUAUUCGAGAAAAAAAGGGAAAAUGGAAAUCAAUAAGGAUAGAAUAAUAAUGAAAAAGGAACUUUUUUAAAUUUGACUUUGUCGCGUAUUUAAUGAUUGUCGAGUCGUAAAAGGUGUAACUAUUGACGAUUACUAGUAAACGUUAAUAUAAUAAAUAAAUAACGUACAAUUGUCACGAA